rnacentral:tmRNA from 2 species
CCUCUUCCCAUGCCGUCAGGAAAACACUAUAUCAGCCUUGCCGGUCUUCGGGCCGGCUAUGGCGAUAAAUGGGCGGUGUAAUAAGCCUAUUGGACCCGGGGGCGGUACCCGGCGCCUCCACCAAGAACAGCCGGAUGUACGGCUGCUGUUGAUGGGGGCGAAAUAGGAUCGACAAGGGUGUAAAGAUCGACUUUUCGCUCGGCAUGAUACCGCCGUUAUCGGGUCACAAGUGUAGUUGCAAACGACAACAACGCUAAGGAAUACGCUCUCGCUGCCUAAUGGCGGUGCGGGAAUUCCGCUCCAAGUCCUCUAGGUUAGCCCCUUGAGGCGGGGUCCGAAGGCACCUGGCAACAGAAGCCUUCACC